CUGGUUCUCACGUUGCGAGUUGAGACAAGAGGUACCCCGAGUGAAAGACUCGUGGUUGUGUACGAGAUUGCAAGUGUAUGAUCAAGAGUUUAACCGAGUUCCCACGGGUAUGACAAGUUUGCCGUUUACUUGUCAUUUCUGCGAUGUUCCAAGUUCGUCUCCCGAGUUACUCUUGAGCCAAUCCUGAUUGAAGGUUUGUUUUAAUAAGCAACAGUGUUAUGUUUUAAUAAGCAACAGUGUUAAAGAAGACCUCUCCAUCCUGUGGCUUUGUUUUAAAGAUAAAUUCAGAGCGGCCGCAUCUAUUGAUGUGACCUACAAAGGGAAAAUGCGCACCAUCCAAUGCCAGAGCAGUUAUACUUAUGAUUUGUUUGAAACACACAGCUGAACGCAAGAUCAACAACAGGAAGAACCCUCGCCCCCCAUCCUCCCCAAACCUCUCCAUACCACCGUUAUUGAAAGUUUACUUCCAGCAGUGAGCAGAAGAUGGAAGGUUCUCAUGGCAGCCAAUGUCCUCAAAGAUCCACAUCGCCCUGGUCACACUCAUUUCACUCCUACCAUCGGGGAGAAGGUAUAUCUGAAAACUGUGACCACCAGGUUCAAGAAUAGCUUCUUCCCAACAACUAUCAGGCUCUUGAACACCGUCCAACGCUAAUCUCAAUCAUGAACUUCUAUACAGUGCAUUCAGAAAGUAUUCAGACCCCUUCAUUUUUCUUUCCACAUUUUGUUACGUUACAGCUUAUUUUAAAAUAGGUUAAAUGCAUUUAUUGUUAUCAUCAAUCUACACACAAAACCCCAGAAUGAAGAAGCGAAACAGGUGUUUAGAAAUGUUUGCAAAGUAAUUAAAAAUAAAUAACUGAAAUAUCACAUUUACAUAAGUAUUUAGACCCUUUGCAAUGACACUCAAAAUUGAGCUUCGGUUCAUCCUGUUUCCAUUGAUUAUCCUUGAGAUGCUUCUACAACUUGAUUGGAGUCCACCAGUGGCAAAUUAAAUUAAUUUAACAUGAUUUGGAAAGGCACACACCUGUCUAUAUAAGGUCCUACAGUUGGCAGUGCAUGUCAGAGCAAAAACCAAGCCAUGAAGAUGAAGGAAUUGUCCGUAGACCUCCGAGACAGGAUUGUAUCAAGACGCAGAUCUGGGGAAGGGUAUAAAACAAUUUCUGCAGCAUUGUAGGUCCUGAAGAGCACAGUGGCCUCGGUCAUUCAUAAAUGGAAGGACUUUGGAACCACCAGGAAGUUGCAUCAGGACCAGAGGUUUGUUUGCUAAAUAUUGCCAAAUCUCAUCACCAUAAGGGCAUGUCCUCUGUUUAGUUUGGAGAUGCAGCAUGGAAACAGGCCAUUCGGCCCACCGUGUGUACACUGACCAGCGAUCCCCGCACACUAACACUAUCCUGAACACACCAGGGACAAUUUUACAUUAAUACAAAGCUUUGGAGUGUGGGACGAAACCGAAGAUCUCGGAGAAAACAUACACAGAUCAUGGGGAGAACGUAUAACCUCCGUACAGACAAGCACCCGUGGUCAGGAUUGAACUUUGGCGCUGUAAGGCAGCAACUCUACCGCUAUGCCACCAUGCCGCCCCGCUGCUGACAAGGAACAGUACGAGUGGUGAUGUGGAAGAGGAGAAGGAAGAGGAUUAGGAUAGUUCAAGGCAAGUUAGCUAACCCCUUUCUCCAGACCAUCUGUGAACCAUUUAUUCCCCUUCCGCAAUAGUCUCACAUCCUCCCUCCACCUUUCCCUGAUCAUCACACCAUCUGCUCUGUCAAAAGCAAAAGCGGCCAAAAUAUUCACUUUGCAAAGUGAGUUUGUAUGUCAGGGCACUGCAUAUUGUAUAGAAACUUUAACUGUUCACCCUUGUGCAUUUUCUUAGCACCUACUUGCUUUAGCUAUUCUGGAGCCUAAACACUACCCAUGCCCCAUAUCAAGCUGAGCUUGCAUGACAGAAGCCUGAACUUCUGCUGCAUUCACAUGUUGAGUGACCCCUGUCGUGGAAGCAGAGUGCGGCUAUCUGAGUUUGCACUGAGUUCAUGGCAGUAACUAGUUUCCCAUGCUGGAAAGUAUGGGCUUCAAGCUCUCCACAGACUCUGGCAUAAGGUUGGUCAUAAGAUCAUAAGAUCAUAGGAUCGUGUGAUAGUAGCAGAAUUAGGCCAUUCGGCCCAUCAGCUCUACUCCGCCAUUCAAUCAUGGCUGAUCUAUCUCUCCCUCCUAACCCCAUUCUCCUGCCUUCUCCCCAUAACCUCUGACACUCUUACUAAUCAAGAAUCUAUCUAACUCUGCCUUAAAAAUAUCCACUGACUUUGCAUCCACAGCCUUCUGUGGCACAGAAUUCCACAGAUUCACCACCCUCUGAUUAAAGACUGGUACCAUAUUCUACCUGAUACUGGAAGCAGGCUUUACGACAGUCUUGCCAUGCCCAUUCACCCAGAGCUUCUAGUGGAGGGCCCCACUGAAGUUCUCAUCUGUGGCUGACAUCUGCUAUACCCAUGCCAUCUGCCCUGCAGCAGGCCAGCUACACAAUGGCUCACUAUUGGAAUACUCCAUCUCUCGGCUAACCCCCAAGUCUGGGAGAUGACAAUAUGGAGCUGCUAUCCAUCAGUUCCAGCUUCACUAUAGUGUCACAGAGUUGUACAACACGGAAACAGACCCUUCAGCCCAACUUGUUCAUACUGACCAAGUUGCCCCAUCUACACUUGUCCCACCUGCCCGUGUUUGGCCCACAUCCCUCUAAACCUUUCCUAUCCCUGCACCUGUCCAAAUGUCAUAAUUGUCAGGUCAUUUAAUUGCUUCUGGAACUAGGGCACAAGGUUAAGGCUACAAUGAUGGCUGGUGGUGGGUGGUGAGUUGAUGGUUGUUAUGAAUGUAAGCAGUGCAUGCUUACAUCCACAGCAGAAAGGAUUGAGGGAUCUGAAAGAAAUAGGAUGGGGAGGUUGGGAUGGAGAUUAGGAAACUGUCAGUAGCACAUAAUUCACUGGAUUUUGAUAGUCAAUUGUUAGUUGUAACAAGUACUUCUUCCACCUCUGACCACAGUAAAAUACUCCGCUCUCCAUUUCACCAAUAUGUAUUGCGAGCUAAGUUAUUUUCCUUUCUAUCAUAUAUUGUUCACGUGGACCAUUCAAUUGGCUCCAAUUUAGCCCAGACCAUCACACAAAUCUGCGGCCCUUCCAUCGACUCCAUCCUAGUUUAUUUUAGUUUAAAGAUACAGAGCAUAAACAGUCUCUUUUAGCCCACCGGGUCCGCGCCGACCAGCGAUCCCCAAAUAUUAAACCUAUUCUAUGCACACUGGGUACAGUUUGUACAUUUACCAAGCCAAUUUACCUCCAA